UAAAUGAAUUUUAACGACAGCAGCCUGGUAAAAGAAAUAGGUAUAUUACAUUCUCAACACAUAAAUGUGGCUUUGGCUAUCACAAUAGUUCUGAUGAAUAUAACAAUGGUAUUCGGAAACGCUAGCGUUAUAAUGGCAGUGAUCUUCAAUAGAAGACUUAGAACCACGCGGUAUUACAUGAUAUCUUCUCUGGCCGUGGCGGAUAUAUGUUUAGGCAUAUUCGUCAUCCCGUUCGCGGGUAUAAACCUGAUCCUCAAAAGGUGGCCGUUAGGAUUAAAGUUCUGCCGAAUUUACCUGACGAGCGAUAUUCUCUUCUCAACCGUGAGUGUAUUGCACUUAUGCGCCAUAGCUUGGGAUCAGUUCAUAGCUGUCCGGUUUCCGUUUCAAUAUAAAUCCGUACUCAACAAUAUAAUCAUAUGGAGUGUCAUAGCAUUCAUAUGGGUUGUGAGUGGACUCAUCGCAAUAAUACCCGUCAAUUUCAAGAUGGAUUGGUACCAGGAACCCACCAGGCUAGAAAACUACUUAAACCCAGAGUAUUGCUUUGUACAGAUAAGGAAAGAGUUCACCAUGAUAGUACUUCCGCUGACUUUCUACCUGCCGAUGAUCAGUAUGGUGGCCAUAUACCUGUACAUUAUACUAACUAUCAGAAGGCGGUUCAGGAAAAUAUGUCAAGUGGCAACUAGAGUCGAGGGAAUCAAAAAUAACCUGUUCAGCACCUCUCCUUAUUCGACCGUCUCCCGACACAAUAAAGAUUCUACCAUUAGAUUUAAAUCCAUUGCAAAUGUUGGUACUUCUUACAUUGAUUCUAAAGAUCAAGAUAAUCGAUGUAAGAAGGACAAGAACCAAAAGCGUCAGGAAGAAACAGAAAUGGAAAAUAUAGGGUCCCGGGGUGAGAUAAUGGCAGGAAACGAAAAUGAAAAUAUGAUGAAGUAUAGAAAGGUUUUGUUGAUGGUGGGAUUGAACUUUUUGCUUAGAAAAUUGAACUUAUUUAAGCGUAGUAGCAUUUUCGUUAAAAUGGAUAGCAUGGGAAAGUUUGAAAGAGAAGAAUGCAAAAGCGGUGAAAAUAGUUCGCAAAACAAUGAAAAACUUGCCGAUCCAUGCAAAAUUCAAAACAAAGCCGAGAAAAUAGGCACCCACCCGAGCCUAAAAUCGAGCGUGUAUUCUAGAGUGGGAGAAGUUAUGAAUGAGAGCCGAAACUUCCAACUCAACCCGGCCACCACUAAUUACCUGAAUUCUCCCCGGCCAAAGACUUUAGUCAAGAGAAGUAUCACUAUUCUCAGUGUGAGCCAACAAAAUAACGCUCAAAAUCUGAAUUCAUUUCUAGCCGAGGCCCGGCUAAAAAAACAAGUUAGAGCCCUAAAGACCGUGGGCAUGAUAACGUUAGCCUUUGUGAUAUGCUGGACCCCGUUUUGCUUAAUAAUGGUAUGGCAAUCCGUGUGUUGGUGCUUAUCGGAGCAGGCCCUCAAUUCGAUGCUCUGGCUGGGAUACCUGAAUUCGUGCUUUAAUCCUUACAUCUAUGCCGUGUGGAACAACGAUUUCAGAAUGGCUUAUAGCACUAUCUUCAAAUCUGUUCGCAAGUGUUGUUCAAGAGCAAAAUAAGGCAACUUUUUAUAAUAUUAGGAUAAAGUGUAAGAUUCUUUAGAGAGGAAUAAUGCCGAUUGAAAUUUUAUUUAGGAAAUAUACUUCCAUAAGCAAAAGGACUUGAUGAUAUAUUUAUAUAAAGGAUAAUGUUGUUUGAAUAGGAAUCAAAGGCAGGCAUAAGAAAACCCUACACCAUCGAAUUAUACUAAACUCACUUAUAUGAAUCCUAGAUCGUAACAUAAAUGAACCAGAAAGGGUUAGAAUUUUAAAAAAUGAGAUUCUUGGGCUCUUAUAUUUCAUCGUCGAUAAGAAAUAAAUUAUAUGAAAAUGCUUU